rnacentral:rRNA from 1 species
GACGAACGCUGGCGGCGUGCUUAACACAUGCAAGUCGAACGGAAAGGCCCUGCUUUUGUGGGGUGCUCGAGUGGCGAACGGGUGAGUAACACGUGAGUAACCUGCCCUUGACUUUGGGAUAACUUCAGGAAACUGGGGCUAAUACCGGAUAGGAGCUCCUGCUGCAUGGUGGGGGUUGGAAAGUUUCGGCGGGUGGGGAUGGACUCGCGGCUUAUCAGCUUGUUGGUGGGGUAGUGGCUUACCAAGGCUUUGACGGGUAGCCGGCCUGAGAGGGUGACCGGCCACCUUGGGACUGAGAUACGGCCCAGACUCCUACGGGAGGCAGCAGUGGGGAAUAUUGCACAAUGGGCGGAAGCCUGAUGCAGCAACGCCGCGUGCGGGAUGACGGCCUUCGGGUUGUAAACCGCUUUCGCCUGUGACGAAGCGUGAGUGACGGUAAUGGGUAAAGAAGCACCGGCUAACUACGUG